rnacentral:rRNA from 2 species
UGGGGAAUAUUGGGCAAUGGGCGCAAGCCUGACCCAGCAACGCCGCGUGAAGGAAGAAGGCUUUCGGGUUGUAAACUUCUUUUGUCGGGGACGAGUAGAAGACGGUACCUGGCGAAUAAGCCACGGCUAACUACGUGCCAGCAGCCGCGGUAAUACGUAGGUGGCAAGCGUUGUCCGGAUUUACUGGGUGUAAAGGGCGUGUAGCCGGGAAGGCAAGUCAGAUGUGAAAUCCACGGGCUUAACUCGUGAACUGCAUUUGAAACUACUUUUCUUGAGUAUCGGAGAGGCAAUCGGAAUUCCUAGUGUAGCGGUGAAAUGCGUAGAUAUUAGGAGGAACACCAGUGGCGAAGGCGGAUUGCUGGACGACAACUGACGGUGAGGCGCGAAAGCGUGGGGAGCAAACA